AGGCUCCUCAGUCCAUGGGAUUUUCCAGAAUGGGGAAUAACCAUCUCUACUUUCCAAAGCCAAUGUGAGGCUUAAGUACCUGAAAUGUAUGAGUGAUCGGUAGUUGAGUUGAAGAACCCAGAUGAAAUUGUCUCUAUGCCCAGAUGUGAACUUGCCUAUGACAUAGCCUCCAUGAAGGAAUUCAGACAUCACUGUGGAACACAGCUCUCCUAUAGGACAGCCCUGCUGUCCUUCAUAUGGUCCUAGGAAUUGACUCACGGCGCUGGAGGCCCAUAGACUUCCCUCGGGACAGAUCCCAUCUUCUCUGCCACAUCCAGAGAAGCCUCCUCAUGAGGCUGUUAUUGACCUGCACAUCAGAACAAUGGUUCUGGGAUGCUGAAGCCCCUAGUGCCCACUCGGGAAACCAAAUCACUUGAAAUUAACAAGUCAUUUGGAGUUAACAACAGCAACAACAAAUCAAUAGCUAACCUUUUGGAAUACUAACAGAUAGUCAUGUACGGAUGUGAGAGUUGGACCAUAAAGAAGGCUGAGCACCAAAGAAUUGAUGCUUUUGAACUGUGGUGUUGGAGAAGACUCUUGAGAGUCCCUUGGACUGCAAAGAGAUCAAAUCAGUCAAUCCUAAAGGAAAUCAACCCUGAAUAUUCACUGGAAGGAUUCAUGCUGAAUCUGAAGCUCCAAAACUUUGGCCACCUGAUGCGAAGAACUGACUCAUUGGAAAACACCUUGAUGCUGAGAAAUAUUGAAGACAGGAAGAGAAAGGGAUGACAGAGGAUGAUGAGAUGGUUGGAUGGCAUCACCAACUCAGUGGACAUGAGUUUGAG
ensembl:lncRNA